GCGACCCCAGGUCAGGCGGGGYUACCCGCUGAGUUUA
rnacentral:rRNA from 1 species